rnacentral:rRNA from 1 species
AUACGAAGGGUGCGAGCGUUAAUCGGAAUUACUGGGCGUAAGGCGCGCGUAGGCGGUUGGAUAAGUCGGAUGUGAAAGCCCCGGGCUCAACCUGGGAAUUGCAUUCGAAACUGUCCGGCUAGAGUAUGGUAGAGGGAAGCGGAAUUCCACAUGUAGCGGUGAAAUGCGUAGAUAUGUGGAGGAACACCAGUGGCGAAGGCGGCUUCCUGGACCAAUACUGACGCUGAGGUGCGAAAGCGUGGGGAGCAAACAGGAUUAGAAACCCUAGUAGUCC